UACAGAGGGGGCGAGCGUUAUUCGGAAUUAUUGGGCGUAAAGGGCGCGUAGGCGGCCUUUCAAGUGACGGGUGAAAUCCCUCGGCUUAACCGAGGAACUGCCUGUCAGACUGGAAGGCUUGAGACCGGGAGAGGUGAGUGGAAUUCCCAGUGUAGCGGUGAAAUGCGUAGAUAUUGGGAGGAACACCCGUGGCGAAGGCGGCUCACUGGCUCGCAACUGACGCUCAUGCACGACAGCGUGGGGAGCAAACAGG
rnacentral:rRNA from 1 species